AUACAUUUAGAUAUAUAAUAUAUUUAUAUCAAUCAUUUAUGAAUUUCAUUAAUUCAAAUAAACACACAAUGCAGUUAACACUAGACUCAAUUAUCUAGAUACAUGUUUUGACAUAGGACUUCAUGGUAGGCGUGCACAUGUAGUAGUAUUUAUGCUUUACAAAGCNAUAAACAAGGAGCUAUCACACUAUUGUUCAUAAGGUUAGUCUCUUUCGCACAUANGACCAAAUAGUCCAGUGGUUAGGACUUCUUGUCAUUCUUUCCCCCCACCAUUAAUCUCUAUAUGAGUUGAACUGUUGGUAGAAUAACAAGAUACCUACUUUCUGAACUCUCAUAUGUUACAACAUACACUAUACAUAAAAUUUCUCCUUAAAAUACCUCACACGUAUAUAUAAUCUUCGUAGAUUCAUUAAAAUGAUUUUACUUUUCAAAUGCUCAUAUAAAGACCCCUUUUAGCACCUUGAAAAAUUGACAUAAUCCUAUUUUUUGUUUUUCUUUAUAAAAAUAAAGAACAAUUAAAAUAACCUAAAAUUUAGGUUUUAAUAGUCUUUUUCUUUUGGCUUAAUAGCACUANUGGUCUUUAUUUUCAUCAGGUUUGUUCGAAAUGGUUCUAAUUUUUUUUCUGUUCAAUGUUGUCCUAAAGAAUGUAAUUUAUGUUCAAUUUAGCCCUUUUUGCAGACGACAUUUAAAUCGUUAACGGAACACUAUCCAGCUGUGCAAUCAAUGACAUAUCACCCUUGACACGUCAUCAUCAUCUCCUACCUCCAGAAACCAUAAUUUUCCUUACUCAUAAACCCUAGCCACCACCUAACCCUAACAUCGCUGCCACGGUCACAACCAGCCACCUUCUUCACACCUCCAUCAUCUUCUCCAUCCAGCAACCACCCAAAAACACCACCCAUGGCCACCUACCAACACCUUCAUUGGCGUCACUCGUGCAUCCAACAACAACUACCCUAGAACUUAUUAUCGCGAAUCAAAUGAACUCAAGACGAAAAAACAAAUUCAUGGAAAAAGAUCAAGAAAGGACCAACCCUAAUUGUGAUCACCAGAACCAACAUCCUUCCAAAGAACAAAUCAGAUACAUACAUUAGUACAAAAACAGCGUANAACGUCGAAUAUUUUUGGUCUUUCACGUUGAAUUCAAGAACGACGUCAUAUCAGGAGACGUUAAAUUAACGUCGAAUUUUUAAAUUCGACGUUAACUUAACAUUGAAUUUUGUCAAUAUACGACGUUAAUU
rnacentral:lncRNA from 1 species